rnacentral:rRNA from 1 species
AGCGAACGCUGGCGGCAGGCUUAACACAUGCAAGUCGAACGGUCCUUCGGGAUAGUGGCGGACGGGUGAGUAACACGUGGGAACGUGCCCUUAGGUUCGGAACAACACAGGGAAACUUGUGCUAAUACCGGAUGUGCCCGAAAGGGGAAAGAUUUAUCGCCUUUGGAGCGGCCCGCGUCUGAUUAGCUAGUUGGUGAGGUAAAGGCUCACCAAGGCUACGAUCAGUAGCUGGUCUGAGAGGAUGGCCAGCCACAUUGGGACUGAGACACGGCCCAAACUCCUACGGGAGGCAGCAGUGGGGAAUCUUGCGCAAUGGGCGAAAGCCUGACGCAGCCAUGCCGCGUGGAUGAUGAAGGUCUUAGGAUUGUAAAAUCCUUUCAGCGGGGACGAUAAUGACGGUACCCGCAGAAGAAGCCCCGGCUAACUUCGUGCCAGCAGCCGCCGUAAGAC